GGUGAACGCUGGCGGCGGGCCUAACACAUGCAAGUCGAGCGAACAGACGGGGAGCUUUCUCCUCUGAGGGUGGCGGCGGACGGGUGGGUAACACAUGGAUAGCCUACCUCUGAGACUUGGGUGAUUACGGGGAACCGGCGCUACUACCGGCUGAUAUAUUGCACCGCGUGGUUCACUCGUGAAAUACGCUUUUUGUGUCAGUUAUAGAUGCAUCCGGGCCGCAGUAGCUAGUUGGUAAGGGAACAGCUUACCCAGGCGACGAUGGGUGGCACAGCUGAGAGGGUGAUCGGCCACACUGGAACUGAGACACGGUCCAGACUCCUACGGGAGGCAGCAGUAGGGAAUCUUACGCAAUGGGCGAAAGCCUGAUCGAGCGACACCGCGUGAGGGAUGAAGGUCUUCGGAUCGUAAAACUCUGUUGUUCGGAAAGAACAAAAGUGCAUUCAACUAUGCCCGUAUUGACGGUACCCAAAGAAGAAGCCCCGGCUAACUUCGUG
rnacentral:rRNA from 1 species